rnacentral:rRNA from 1 species
GACGAACGCUGGCGGCGUGCUUAACACAUGCAAGUCGAACGGAAAGGCCUGCUUUCCCUUGUGGCUUGCGGGUACUCGAGUGGCGAACGUGUGAGUUACACUUGACUGAUCUGCCCCCCACUUGGGUAUAAGUCUGGGCACCUUGGUCUAAUUCCCGAUCGGCCUUUAGUGUGUUGCCUGUCGUGGUUAACGAUUUUCUAUUGGUUGUGUUUGAGCUUGCGGCCUAUCAGCUUGUUGGUGGGCUACUGGCCUACCAAGGCGGCGACGGGUAGCCGGCCUGAGAGGGGGGACGGCAAAAUUGGAACGGGGAUACGACCAAGACUCCUACGGAAGGAAGCAGUGGGGAAUAUUGCAAAAGGGGGGGAAGCUGGAUGAAGCGAGGCGGCGUGAGGGAUGACGGCCUAUGGGUUGUAAACUCCUUUCGUCCGCGAGGAAGAAACCGGGUUGGAAGGGUGGUGACGGUAGUAUAAGAAGAAGCACCGGCUAACUACGUG